ACAACCCCGAGAAAUCGGGGCUAAUAUCAGAUGAUGCAGCGGCUCGACAUCGAGACAGUUGUUAAACCUUCGGGGCCUAAAGAUGAGCCUGCGUCUGAUUAGCUGGUUGGCGGGGUAACGGCCCACCAAGGCAACGAUCAGUAGCUGGUCUGAGAGGAUGAUCAGCCACACUGGAACUGAGACACGGUCCAGACUCCUACGGGAGGCAGCAGUAAGGAAUAUUGCUCAAUGGCCGAAAGGCUGAAGCAGCAACGCCGCGUGGAGGAUGAAAUACUUUUGUAUGUAAACUCCUGUGAGAAGGGAAAAAUAUGCAGAUUUUCUGCGUUGAUUGUACCUUCAGAGGAAGCCCCGGCUAACUACGUGCCAGCAGCCGCGGUAAUACGUAGGGGGCGAGAGUUGUCCGGAUUUACUGGGUGUAAAGGGUGCUCAGGUGGAUUUGUAAGUCAGAGGUGAAAUCCCAAAGCUUAACUUUGGAGCUGCCUUUGAUACUGCAAGUCUUGAGUUUGGAAGAGGGUAAUGGAAUAUCUGGUGUAGCAGUGAAAUGCGUAGAUAUCAGAUAGAACACCAAUGGCGAAGGCAGUUGCCUGGUCCAAAACUGACACUAAAGCACGAAAGUGUGGGGAGCAAACAGGAUUAGAUACCCUGGUAGUCCACACCCUAAACGAUGAAUACUAGAUGUUGGUCCUUUUAAGGAUCAGUAUCCAAGCUAACGCAUUAAGUAUUCCACCUGGGAAGUACAAUCGCAAGGUUGAAACUCAAAGGAAUUGACGGGGGCCCGCACAAGCAGUGGAGCAUGUGGUCUAAUUCGACGCAACGCGAAGAACCUUACCUAGGCUUGAAGCGCAAGCUAAACC
rnacentral:rRNA from 1 species